UUAGAGUUUGAUCCUGGCUCAGGACGAACGCUGGCGGCGUGCCUAACACAUGCAAGUCAAGCGAAUGAAGUUCCUUCGGGAACGGAUUUAGCGGCGGACGGGUGAGUAACACGUGGGCAACCUGCCUCAUAGAGGGGAAUAGCCUUCCGAAAGGGAGAUUAAUACCGCAUAAGAUUGUAGUACCGCAUGGUACAGCAAUUAAAGGAGCAAUCCGCUAUGAGAUGGGCCCGCGGCGCAUUAGCUAGUUGGUGAGGUAACGGCUCACCAAGGCGACGAUGCGUAGCCGACCUGAGAGGGUGAUCGGCCACAUUGGGACUGAGACACGGCCCACACUCCUACGGGAGGCAGCAGUGGGGAAUAUUGCACAAUGGGGGAAACCCUGAUGCACCAACGCCGCGUGAGUGAUGACGGCCUUCGGGUUGUAAAGCUCUGUCUUCAGGGACGAUAAUGACGGUACCUGAGGAGGAAGCCACGGCUAACUACGUGCCAGCAGCCGCGGUAAUACGUAGGUGGCGAGCGUUGUCCGGAUUUACUGGGCGUAAAGGGAGCGUAGGCGGAUUUUUUAAGUGAGAUGUGAAAUACUCGGGCUUAACCUGGGUGCUGCAUUUCAAACUGGAAGUCUAGAGUGCAGGAGAGGAGAAGGGAAUUCCUAGUGUAGCGGUGAAAUGCGUAAAGAUUAGGAAAAACACCGGGGGCGAAGGCUCUUCUCUGGACUGUAAAUGACGCUGAAGGUUCAAAAGCGUGGGGAAACAAACAGGAAUAAAAUAACCCGGGUUACCCCCCCCCCGAAAAACAAAAAAAAACUAAGGGGGU
rnacentral:rRNA from 1 species